rnacentral:pre_miRNA from 18 species
AGGUUCUUGUUGGAAAAGCAGGGUACGUGCAAAAUGCACACCGGUUGGUCGAGCUAAUUAACAAGCUCUGACGACCAUGGUGAUCGAAUGCACGUGCUCCCCUUCUCCACCAUGGCCUU